rnacentral:tRNA from 1 species
GGAUUGUGGCUUAGUGGUAGAGCUCUUGCCUCGCAUGCGUGAGGCACUGGGUUCAAUAAUCAGCACCA